rnacentral:tRNA from 1 species
UCCUUGGUGGCUCAGAGGGUAAAGCAUCUGCCUGCAAUGCAGGAGACCUGGGUUCGAUCCCUGGUCAGGAAG